GCCGGGCGCGGUGGCACGUGCCUGUAGUCUCAGCUACUGGGGAGGCUGAAGUGGGAGGAUCGCUUGAGCCCAGGAGUUCUGGGCUGUAGUGCCCUAUGCUGAUCAGGUGUCUGCACUAAGUUUAGCAUCAAUAUGGUGACCUCCUGGGAGCGGGGAACCACCAGGUUGCCUAAGGAGGGGUGAACCGGCCCAGAUCGGAAAUGGAGCAGGUAAAAACUCCCGUGCUGAUCAGUAGUAGGGUCAGGUCUGUGAAUAACCACUGCACUCCAGCCUGGGCAACAUAGUGAGACCCCAUCUCUU
ensembl:misc_RNA Metazoa_SRP Metazoan signal recognition particle RNA